rnacentral:snoRNA from 1 species
AGCCCCCUGGUACUUACCAAAAGCUGUGUUCUCAUACUGACUGGGAAGUAAACCUGCUCCAUAUACACCUCAGCCCAGGCCCUGUGCCUUGUCUCUAUUGUGAAUGGGGAGACAUGU